rnacentral:rRNA from 1 species
AGCGAACGCUGGCGGCAGGCUUAACACAUGCAAGUCGAGCGGGCGUAGCAAUACGUCAGCGGCAGACGGGUGAGUAACGCGUGGGAACGUACCUUUUGGUUCGGAACAACACAGGGAAACUUGUGCUAAUACCGGAUAAGCCCUUACGGGGAAAGAUUUAUCGCCGAAAGAUCGGCCCGCGUCUGAUUAGCUUGUUGGUGAGGUAACGGCUCACCAAGGCGACGAUCAGUAGCUGGUCUGAGAGGAUGAUCAGCCACAUUGGGACUGAGACACGGCCCAAACUCCUACGGGAGGCAGCAGUGGGGAAUAUUGGACAAUGGGGGAAACCCUGGUCCAGCCAUGCCGCGUGAGUGAUGAAGGCCCUAGGGUUGUAAAGCUCUUUUGCCAGGGAAGAUGAUGACUGUACCUGGAGAAUAAGCCCCGGCUAACUUCGUGCCAGCAGCCGCGUAAU